rnacentral:lncRNA from 1 species
UUCCUUAUCUUUAUACUCUUCCACUAUUUCAAAUGACUCCAAAGACAUGUCAUCAUCUAAACAUAAUGUAGAAAAGUUCUUUGAAUGAUACCCAACCAAUCCCACAUCCAAAUUUACACCAUUCACAACACACUUACUCUUAUUCUCAUUCUCAAUGUCAGUCUCAAGAAAAAAAUGACAGUUGAAUGGCAAAAAUUCUUAUUCUGCUCCAU